rnacentral:rRNA from 1 species
UGAGGAAUAUUGGUCAAUGGGCGAGAGCCUGAACCAGCCAAGUAGCGUGCAGGAUGACGGCCCUAUGGGUUGUAAACUGCUUUUAUAUGGGAAUAAAGUGAGGGACGUGUCCCUUAUUGCAUGUACCAUACGAAUAAGGACCGGCUAAUUCCGUGCCAGCAGCCGCGGUAAUACGGAAGGUCCAGGCGUUAUCCGGAUUUAUUGGGCGUAAAGCGAGCGCAGGCGGUUAGAAAAGUCUGAAGUGAAAGGCAGUGGCUCAACCAUUGUAGGCUUUGGAAACUGUUUAACUUGAGUGCAGAAGGGGAGAGUGGAAUUCCAUGUGUAGCGGUGAAAUGCGUAGAUAUAUGGAGGAACACCGGUGGCGAAAGCGGAUCUCUGGUCUGUAACUGACGCUGAGGCUCGAAAGCGUGGGGAGCGAACAGG